AUAACUUUUCUUUCAAGGAGCAAGCAUCUUUUAAUUUCAUGGCUGCAGUCACCCCCCCGCAAUGAUUUUGGAGCCCAAAAAAAUAAAGUCUCUCACUGUUACAUAGUAUCAAUUUUCCAGAUAAUUGGAAGUGUCUUUAAGCAUCAGGUUUUUUAUUUUUUAUUAAGUAUUCUUAUGGAAAUUUUUCUAUUGUCAUUUUCAUAAUAUCCUUGUCAUCCUCAGGGAAAAUGAAAAUCAGUGAGUUUGAAGAAAUCUACCAAUACUUCAUUCUACAUUCAUAACAGUAUCUGAAAAAAAUAGCAGACAUCCCUUUUAGAAGAGUCUUGGAAGGAAAUGAAAAUAUCUUAGGCUCAGGUGAGGCAGUCCUUUUGCUGAUGCUCGAUUCUGGAGAUGGUUCCAACUGAUUUUGCCACCCACCGCCAAGGUCCCUAACCCCGUCCAGGAGCCAAGAGAGAGGGAGGAGAAAAGGGGGCCUCUGAAGUUGGUCACCUCAGGGCUUAUGAAGCACAUGCUCGUCACGUGGAGAAGAAAUGUGCCCGCUAACCUCUGUAGCUCCCGCGGGAAUCCAGAGUUUGCAUCUCUUUGCAGAGCCCAGAACAGCCUGUCUGUUCUCCUCUCCCUGUUGUGUGCCUGGCGCUUCCCCAACGAGAUAUCUCCUGGAAAAGCUUUUCCUGUGAGGGGUGGGGAGCUUUUGUUCUCUGAGAAAUAUGGUGCGGCUAAUUAAGAGCAUUGUCCUGGGAGGGGGAAGGUUUCAGAGGCUGUUUCCAGUGAGGGUGAGUGCUACUGCCUUAGAUCGCCACCAUGAUGCUCUUGAUCUCUCUGCCCUGCUGGGCAAACCAUUUUGAGGGGAGAUUAAAAUAACAUCCAAUAAAAUAAAAAUAGAUAU